UAGCUGCCCUUUGGGAAAGGGAAGGUGGCAGGAGGAGUAAGAUCUCGAAGCUUCGGAGGGUGUGGCCGACAUCCGGGCACCUGGGGCCGUCGAGCUGAGGCGCGCCUCGGGGCCCUGCUUGUUAGGGCUGCGGCCAUGCUGAAGUGCGGGAUGACCGGCAGUCAGGUGAAAGUAUUUGGGAAAGCAAUCCAAGCUCUAUCACGAGUCAGUGACGAGCUGUGGUUAGACCCAUCUGAAAAAGGUCUUGCUUUAAGAUCUGUGAAUUCUUGUCGGUCAGCAUAUGGAUGUGUUCUCUUCUCUCCUGUGUUUUUUCAACAUUAUCAAUGGUCAACCUCAGUGAAAAUGAAUGAUAAUGAUUCGACUUCAUCAAACUUAAAUUGCAAAUUGGGAAUGAAGUCAAUUCUGCCCAUCUUUAGAUGCCUGAAUUCCCUCGAAAGAAAUGUAGAGAAGUGCAAAAUAUUCACCAGAUCUGAUAAAUGUAAAGUGGUUAUUGAAUUCUUCUGCAGACAUGGUAUUAGAAGAACUCAUAAUGUAUGUUUUCAAGAAAGUCAGCCCUUGCAAGUUAUUUUUGAAAAGAAUAUGUGUUCUAAUACACUAGUGAUUCAACCAAGAGUGCUUGCUGAGGCAGUUGUCCUUUUCACAUCAAGUCAAGAAGUUACUCUUGCUGUUACCCCACUCAGCUUUUGCCUUAAGAGUUCCAGUGACGAACCAGUGGAUUUGACCAGUUCUGUGUACAGUGAGAUGUUUGUUGGCCCAAAUGAGUUUGACUUCUUUCAAAUUGGAGUUGAUAGUGAAAUAACAUUUUGCUUCAAAGAAUUGAAGGGAAUACUGACGUUUUCAGAAGCUACACGUGCUCCUAUAGCCAUUCAUUUUGAUUUUCCUGGGAAACCUAUGGCUUUAAGUAUUGAUGAUAUGUUAUUGGAAGCUAACUUUAUUUUGGCUACAUUAGCUGAUGAGCCAAGUAGAGCAUCUUCUCCGCAGUCACUGUGUCUUUCCCAAAAACAAAAAAGGUCAGAGCCGCUGAGUUCAAAUUCAGAGGCUGGUAAAAAUGUAACCAGCAAGGCCCCAGAAUGUAUCCUGAGAAAAGUAGCACCUAAAAGGCUUUAUCCGAAGGAGACUCUCACAGAUGUCUCUGCACUGGAAAACUGUGGCAGCCCCAUAAUGAAAAGAGCGAAUGGAGACAGGAGUGAAGUGUCGGAAAGCAGCGUCAGUGACACGGAGGAGGUGCCGGGGUCUCCGUAUCUGAGGAAGCUGUGUAUUUUUAGUAAGAAUACAACAGAAUGACGCUGUGUUCUUCUACAUCAUAUCUGGAGGCACAUGAUGGAGACUUGCCUUGUGUGAUGCAGAAAAGAAUCUAAUGGAACUGAUGCCAAAAAAAAAUUAUUUCUGUUAUCUGACAUAGAUCAGCAGCCUCCACUGCCAGGGACCCUAGGUUUGGAGUAAAAUGAGGUAGAUUACAAAUGUCUCUGUUCUUUGUCCGUCUGAGAAUCAGCUUCCUACCUGAACAAACAGACUAAAAAAUCUGGCACAAAACCAUUGUUAUGUAAUUUUACGCCUGCCUCUCCCUCCCCCAAACCUGUUUAGAGUCCAUUAUAACCUGACAAACUCUUGACUUCUGUAACAUCUUACUGUGGAGUCUUUGUGAACCAACACAUCACAAGGAAAUGUUCAACUAGCAAGCAGUUGUACGUUUUGUGAGGAUUUCAUACACAAAGGUGGCAGAGUGAAUUAGUAAACUUUAGAACUGUGAACAGAGUUCUAACUAAAACCAGAAUGAAUUUGGCUCUUGUAGCUUAGUCAAUGAGUCAGAGCUACCCACAAUAACCUAAUAAAAACUUAAGUUCAUCCCAAAAUGUUCCUCAGUGAAUGAAAAUGGGCUUUCACCAAGCUUUUUGUGGAAAUUGGCAAUGCCCACAUAAUUUCAAGUCCUUUCACACUGUAGGCUAAAGAUUUACAUAUCUUAUGCUUACACUGAUGAUUAACACUGAAAUUUCACAAAUUCCUAACGAUUGCGGAUGACUACAAAGAAAGCAGGUGUACCCAAGAGUAACCGGAGGUCUCCUUGCAGAGGAUGAAGUUUCUGGUUCGCUCGCUGAAAUGGGCAGAGGGGUGCAUGUUGUGAAGGCACCCUCACCAAUAAUUGCCUGGAUGCAGCACAAGUCUGGAAGAGAUAGUCACACUAUUAAAUUGUAUGUAAUUUGGGUUUUAUAAUUUGCAUACAGAAUGCUAAGUUUAAAUGACACCAGAUUUUUUUGUGGCUUCAUUCCAUACCAUUUUUGGAAGAUGCAAAAGCCUUCUCAGUUGGGAAAACAUCUAUAUUUUACAUUCAAUUAUCAGUCCAUUUUGAUGAAUUUUUGAGGCAGCUAAACUGAUGUAGUAAACCAGCUGGUGAAAAAGAGCUAAGUGGGAUAAACUAGUAAAAGACAGAAAAUGAUAGCUACAAAGUAAGGAGUACUGCUGGCAUGACUAAGAGCCUUGGAAAUGAGGACUUGACAGAGACCCACAAAAUGCCAAGGGCUGGUGUCUUACGUAGUUAAGGUUCAAAUUAAGA